rnacentral:rRNA from 1 species
UCCGUAGGUGAACCUGCGGAAGGAUCAUUACAAGUGARGCUACCGAACGUUGGAAACAGCGGUUAGGAGCUUACACCCACCCGUGUCUACAUACUAUUGUUGCUUUGGCGGGCCGUGGCCUCCACUGCGGGCUCUGCUCGUGUGUGCCCGCCAGAGAACCAAACUCUGAAUGUUAGUGAUGUCUGAGUACUAUCUAAUAGUUAAAACUUUCAACAACGGAUCUCUUGGUUCUGGCAUCGAUGAAGAACGCAGCGAAAUGCGAUAAGUAAUGUGAAUUGCAGAAUUCAGUGAAUCAUCGAAUCUUUGAACGCACAUUGCGCCCUGUGGUAUUCCGCAGGGCGUGCCUGUUCGAGCGUCAUUUAACCACUCACGCCUAGCGUGGUAUUGGGGCACGCGGUCUCCGCGGCCCUCAAAAUUAGUGGCGGCGCCGGUGGGCUCUAAGCGUAGUACAUACUCCCGCUAUAGAGUUCCCCCGGUGGCUCGCCAGAACCCCCAAUUUUUACAGGUUGACCUCGGAUCAGGUAGGGAUACCCGCUGAACUUAAGCAUAUC